UGGCGGCGUGCCUAAUACAUGCAAGUCGAACGGUCUUUCUAUGGAAGCUUGCUUCACUGAGGAGAUAGUGGCGAACGGGUGGAGGUAACACGUGGGUAACCUGCCCAUAAGAGGGGGAGUAACAUCCGGAAACGGGUGCUAAUACCGCAUAGUUUUCUUGAUCGCAUGAUCGGGAAAGGAAAGACGGCCUUUGUGCUGUCGCUUAUGGAUGGACUCGCGGCGUAUUAGUUAGUUGGUGAGGUAACGGCUCACCAAGACGAUGAUACGUAGCCGACCUGAGAGGGUGAUCGGCCACAUUGGGACUGAGACACGGCCCAAACUCCUACGGGAGGCAGCAGUAGGGAAUCUUCCGCAAUGGACGAAAGUCUGACGGAGCAACGCCGCGUGAGUGAAGAAAGGUUUUCGGAUCGUAAAACUCUGUUGUCAGAGAAAAACAAGUUGGAGAGUAACUGCUCCAGCCUUGACGGUAUCUGACCAGAAAGCCACGGCUAACUACGUGCCAGCCGCAGC
rnacentral:rRNA from 1 species